rnacentral:lncRNA from 1 species
GUGAGCACAGCGUGUUGUGCUCAUUUCUUCAUUUCUUCAUGAUCCCCUCAGAAAUGAAGGGCAGCCUGACAGUGGCAUGGUGGUUAGGCUUGAUCUUCCUGGAGCACUCUUCGGAAGGUACACAGCCCGCCUGCAGAGUUGCAGUGUUCUGGGCCACUAGAAGGUGGAAGAGGUGGACCUUCCAUUCGGGCCUCAUGGAAUUACAGGGCUUGCGUUCCUCCAGCUUGACAUGCCUCCAAGUCCUUCCUUAAAUUGCUCCCUCUGUUCAAAAUGCAAAACAGUGCUUGCAUCGCUCCAAAUCUGGAAAGCCUCCAAGACUUCCUCAAACUGUUCUUUUCCCAGUCUUGUUCACCUGGCCUAUUUAGCACGGAUUUUUUGAACCACUACUGGCUUAGAGCUGCCAGUUCUCCACAAAAUGCUGGCUGAAUAAAUGAGAUGUCUC